rnacentral:rRNA from 1 species
GAUGAACGCUGACAGAAUGCUUAACACAUGCAAGUCAACUGUGGCGGACGGGUGAGUAACGCGUAAAGAACUUGCCUCACAGUUAGGGACCACAUUUGGAAACGAAUGCUAAUACCUGAUACUGUGAGAGAGCUUUGCGUCCCAUUAGCUAGUUGGGGAGGUAACGGCUCACCAAGGCGAGGAUGGGUAGCCGGCCUGAGAGGGUGAUCGGCCACAAGGGGACAGAGAGACGGGCCUUACUCCUACGGGCGGUAGCGGUGGGGAAUAUUGGACAAUGGACCAAAGUCUGAUCCAGCAAUUCUGGGUGCACGAUGAAGUUUUCGGAAUGUAAAGGGCUUUCAGUUGGGAAGCGGUACCAACAGAAGAAGUGACGGCUAACUACGUGCCAGCAGCCGCGGUAAUAC